GACGAGUCAUAGCGAGCUGCAGCCAAUCAUAGGGAGCAGGCAGCAUCAACUCGGGCCCUCAGCAACAACAUGACUAUUUAGUGUAUGCAAGCACGAGAUCUAGGUUACAUAUCAAUAACGACGCCUGCUCACACAUGACAUGGCACCUGGGCAAAGACAAGUGAAGGGAGGGAGUGAGUUACCAAUCCCAGAAUACACUCUGAAUGCAACAUGCACUGCUUGGGGGAUAUCACGUCCCUUUCUGCUGGAGAUGUCCAUCUAUCAAGAAUCAUCGCGAGGAUGUGAAACCGUCGGCGUCAUGAGUCGGCAUUAACGCUCAAGUCAUGUUUUUUCCUCCUCUUUCUUUCACUCACUUCCUUAACAGAGAAUGCAACACAGACAGGGGUAGAAAAAGAGAAGGGGGUAUAGAGGCUGUGAAUAAGCAGAGUGAGUGGCAUGCAUGGACAGCCCCUCUGUCUGUCAAAGACACUGCAGCAGCUGCAUGCACGCGAUAAGAGCAACCAUUCACAGCCAGUGCCCCCCUUCCUCGCCCUCUCCCUCUUUUUUCUUCCUCCUACACAAGACACACACAGAGAUAUCCACCUCCUUUCGCCCCUUCUAAUACACACGUUUAUAUGCACAUCAAUAUUCGGCUUAUUUUCAGCCAAGAAGUCUUCUGGCAUCGCGUUGAGGCGAGGCUAAACAUGGAUGAGAUGGAAAAGUGACGGGAAGGAUGACCCCUUGUUUUUUAUUCAUGUUUUUUUGUUGUGGAUGUUGACAGUAAUCAUGCAUAUUUUACGGUCUUUCUGUUUAUGCACUGAUAAAAAGAAUUGCUUGAAUUUCUGUAAUUUACAGCAAAGUGAUUUCAUAGAUAUCUGCAUUUGAAUUAUGAUUUUUGUCAUGUUCCUUAUUCUUUUAUUUAUUUAUUCCUUUUUUAAAUCUUUGCAUACAUAUAUACAUGUAUAUACUGUAUGUACAUACACAUAUGGCGGAAAACACUCAGGUGACUUGAAGUUCCGCUCUGAGACCCCCAAUUUGGCCAAACUCAAAAUUGUCCCAUAUGCAUGUGUGAUACAUCAUUGGAAAGCUAAAAAAUCUCAAUUUUCGGGAUGAAGAAUUUUUUUGAAAAGGAGGGUAUUUAAAAAAAAUAAAAAAUAAAAAAAUAAAAUAAACAGCAAAACUUUAUCUGGAGGUGAGAGCACGCGAGAGCAGAAAUAAAGACGCCAUGACUUUAACGAGAUAUUAUCGCAUAGUUACCUUGUUUUGAUCCAAAAACUCCAUGUAGCAUGUAUCACUGAGUGCCAAGACCCAGCUGUGAAUGGCCACAGCUAGAUUUUCUGGGGAUUUUAUAGGUGAAACAUGGUAAUAUAACAAAGGUCGCGAUGCAGAAAUCACAGACAUCAAGGAGUGGUCGAGAUUUUCUUUUUCAUAUACUUACCUUUUUAAACAUUUUUUGUCCAAUUUUUCUUUGUUUGGAUCGAUUAUUUAUCAUCUAACAUAUCGGAAAAAAUGCGACAGAAACAAACCGAAAAAAAAUACAAUCAAGCGAUAGUUAUGAGGUAAAUAUCCGUGACUUUUUUACAGACACCAUUUUUUUCAUUGUGACGUCAUUUGUUUAAAAGUUUAAAAUAUGCGAGUGAAUAAUUUUUUUAAAGUUUUUUUUUUUUUUUUUUUUUUAAACGAAAUAUUACACAUCAAUUUAUGAAUCUAAGCUAACAAUGACAGACAUUUUGAAUAAUAAAUAUAAUUAAUUACUUUGGUUUUAUGGCUGGGUUGAAACAAAAGCGGUUGCGCAACAUCUGUAAACGGGGAUUUUCAGGGUAAAACGAGCAAAUUUAAAAUAGUUCGGGGGCUUAAUGUGCCAUUAAUCUGCUAUUCCAGCAUAUAGACAUAUUGUUCUAUCCAACACAAAAAUUCUUUUGGCUUAAAAUAUAGCAGUUCAUUUUA